GUUAGCCCCCAAAAAGGAGGGGACAAAAAAGAAAAAAAAAGAAAAGAGUUAAUUUGGAAAUCUUAGAAUAUCCUGAGUUGGAACGGACCCUCGAGGAUCCCCCUCCUGACCCUCCGCAAGACACCCCAAGAGUCACACCCUGUGUCUGAGAGCGUGUUCCAAACGCUUCUUGAGCUCUGUCAGACCACUGCCCUGAGGAGCCUGUUCCAGUGCCCAACCACCCUUGGGGUGAAGAACCUUUUCCUAAUAUCCAACCUAAACAUCUCCCGACUUAGCUUCGUGCCGUUUCCUCGGGUCCUGUCUCUGGUAACCAGAGUGAAGAGCUCAGUGCCGGCCGCUCCACUUCCCCUUGAGAGGAUGUUGAAGACUGCAGUGAGAUUUUCCCUCAGACUCCUCCAGGCUGAACACGCCAAGUGACCACCCCGCCUAGGAUUAGGUGACAUUGCUCUCAAGGAGUAAGAAAUAGUUAUGUGCAAGUUACGUCAUAUUCUGUACAGUGUUAAGUUGGUAUUCCCAGAUCUUUAAUAAAUAUCAGGUGGAUGUGAUUCAAAAUAGUGGAUGUAAGCCAACAUCAUGCUGAAACUGGCAUGUAAAGUUGGUAUGUAGUUGUACCUGAGCACCAGAACCUACCUGAUGUACUUGUCAAGGACUGUCAGUCUGCGACCUCUAGAGCUCUGCAGCCAGAGUCACUGCCACACAGGAGGCUUAAAACUGGCAUGAAGACCACCACUUUAAUUGAAAUGCUUUAACGAGAGUACUGUCUUCCUCAGAUCUCACCUAUAUUCUUGGUAUUUUCCUCUUAGUUCAAGUUCCUGUGAUAGCUCUUUCUUCCAGAGGAUGCUUGUAGUUGGGAAUAUAGCAAAAUGUGAGCUGCCACCUUGCAUCAGAGGCUCCUGGGAGGUUUUGCUGUUUGUAGAAUCCCAAACAGCUGGUGCCAUGCAGGGAGAGCAAGCUGAAGGGUCAAGAGGAUGUCAGGGUCACCUGGAAUGAUCUCAGCAUUUCCAUACGAGCAGUAGAGCUGCUAUUUCUAGUGUCAGACUUGCUUUCUGGUCCAACAGACCAUGCUUUGAAUUCUGCGAGAUGUGUGUGGCUGGCUGAAUUUCAGUACUGUGUUUCCUGAAUGUGCAGGCUUUGUGCAGAAAAUGGUGGACUUCACUCCUGGCACCAGUGUAAGAAAGGAAGGUUUUCUUAGAAGCUGCCUGAUGUGUUACCCGAAGUCCCUUAAGCACCUCUAACCAGAGGAGGAUGCUUCCUUGUCUCCAGUACUACAAAGCAGUUUCUGAUUUGAGGCAGAAGAUGGGAACUGGGAGGAAGGGCAAUUGACUGUGCUCAUGCCAACUGUUGGGAUGAUGCUGCAACACACUGGCCUGGCCUGAUUGCUGAAAAAAUGACAGAGAAUUGAGGAAACUGAGAGAGCACCGACCUGCAUUUUGCAACAGAGCCCUUGUUACAGCAGUGCUGAAUAUUGGCAGAUACUUCAGACUCUGCAGCCAGGAGAAAACAAGCAUCCUUCCUUCCCAGAAAAGUGUGGGAGUGUGCCUGUUGCAGAAGUUGCUGUCACAUCAAGGAGAAAGGUGGGAUGUUGUAGGGGUGCUGAGCCUGAAUGACCUGAGUGAAAGCAUAUACUGUCCUGCACGUGCCUGGAAGAGGUUUUGCAGGAAGGUCCUUAUGAACACAGCUUAGUGCCAGAGCCCUUGGCCUCCCCCUUCCCUUUGUCUUGGGGCUGAUGGCUGAAAUGCCGCUUGUCCAGGAAUCAGAUGAUUUCCCAGUCACUAUUCUGUUCCUGGAAAAGCUUUUUCUGCUAAUGAGGGCCUUAUGUUUAUGAUUUGCUUCACUAUGCAGAAAAGCUUCUGCUGGGACUGUAAUGCAGAAGACAACAUUUGUCUCCUUCUCCAAGAGAUGAUCUGAGUCAGUGAGUUGAUGCCAAGAGACUGGGCCUUUUAUUUGCUGUUGGGAAGGGAACUCUCCUUUUUUCUUUCUUUCUACCCUUUCCAAAGAGAAAAGCUCUGAAGUGUUUCUCUGGUCCCACAUAGAAUGAUGAAGAAACAGCUGUAUUUUACAAAUGAAGAGACAGAACACCACACUAGGAAGACUUUGGUUUUAGACUCAUCUUCCAUGAGCUCCCAGUAUUGUGUGUACUUCCAGCACCAUGUAGUUGAUGCAUAAUUAAUGAGAUGCACAGCCUGUCAGCUCCUCGUGGCCUGCUUGACACCGCAGUGCAGAAACUGAGACACAAGUUAUGUCUUCCUACUGGAUCUUGGCCUUCUCCUGGCAGGUACCCUGACCUCCAGUGUGGAGACGGUCCAGCUGGCUCAAUUAACGUAAAGCCCAGUGAGAAAGGCACAGGGAGGCCCUAGAAUAACUCUGAAACAUGGUUUUGGGUGCCAUCCUACAAGGUGAAAGAAAUGGGCUGAGCUGCUUCUAGGAAGAAAAGAGGGAUGAAUCCAGCACAUCACACACCAUGGGCAAGGACUCGAACUAUGGCCCUUCAAGGAAGAAGGCCACUCGCAUCAUUAAGAGAUGUGCUCAAUUAAUCUCUCUCUGGACUAAAGGCCCAGCCAUGGGACAAGGCAGUAUUUACAAAAAGCACAGGAAACACAUUAGAGCAGGAAAUACAAGGAGACGCUCCUGUCUAGCCUGGGCUCUGCAGUGCCUGGACAAGUAGUGAACCUGGAGCAUCAUCAAAGGCAGUGAAACAGAAUUGGAGGAACUGAAAGAGCUUUUCUCAGCUGGGGUGUGAGGUGUGUGGCACGGAUAAAACGGGGUCUGGGAGACACUGUGACAGUGCUUGGGACUGAAGGCAGAAGUAAGUGCACGUUCCUUAGGGAUGCCCGAGCCCUGGAAUGCACUAGACCUGUAAAUAUUGGUAUCUGCAAUUAAAAAUGAAAGCAAAGAGGUUUUAUCCUUC